UCUGGCAAGGAGGCCCACUUUGAACAUCUACAGCCGUCGGCCUUGUCUUAGCAGCUAGUCAGAGUCCAAAGACAUUGACGACCGCUAUAGCAAGUGUCUACCACAAACACGUUUAAAUUGUGAGGACAAUAUACGUUCCCAAGCAGGACCACUUUCAUGCUACAAUGAUUGAGGGCGACGGACACGGUCGGAAUAAAAUGGAGCAGUUUCGAGCUACUCGAACAUGGAAUAUGAUUGUGUCAGCGGUGUGCAGUGAAAUGCCAACUGGACGACGUCGCAAGGGGUUUCGUAUCUACGAAAACUGUUUCGCAGGUAACGAAGCUGUAUCCUGGACUAUAAACUACCUUGAACAGCAUCGAGAUGUCUUGAUCUGCUCAGCUGACAAUCAGUCUAUUUGUAAGGUGGCCAUUACGCGAGAGAAAGUAACACUUCUACUACAGAAGUUAGUAGAACAAAGACUCAUCAGUAAUGUAUGCGGACAACAAGAGGCACCAUUUCGGGAUUCGUACCGGUGUCUCUAUUCAUUCAAUAACGAGAAUACUGCCCCCGUUCUCAUGUUCAAAACAACUACGUCUGCCUUUAAAAGCAACAGACGUAUUCGCAAAAAUCGCAACGGAAGCCUACACAAAGUUGCCCCUGUCCCAUUCGGCUAUGCAACUAACUUGGUCAAAACAGCUUUGGAAAGGAUAUCGGUCCAGAGGUUAAGCACCAAAAAUAUUUGACAGAAAUAGGACUCUUAAAGGAGCAUACAUACAAGACACGUCUGCGCUGUAUUCUGUAGGGAACUGAUGAGUAGUGGCUGCCAAAAAAGUUGGGCAGUUACGUGCCGGACGUUGACAGAUCUCUUUCAGCGCAUAGGCACUCGUCGUGCCAUCGAACAUCGUGUUUCAAGGACAGUGUCUCUGCAAUACGUUAUACACGAAGCUAAGGCUAUUACACUUACAUUGGGGCAGGCCCGUCGAAAGGACCUCGCGAUAUAUUCCAAUGCUGUCGAUAAUAGGUGCAUGCAUUGUGUAAAUCAGCAUUGUGAUCAUCUUCAAGCGCGGAUAAAAAUAGAGAGCAGAAAUGUAUUGGACCAAUUGGCAGCAUAGUCAAUAAUACAUUUCACAGUUUUUGAUGCAUAUAUAUGACGAGAAGGCGUGGUGUAGAGCUGAGCGUCAAAAGAUAGUCUGACGUCGCCCCCCUGACGAGAAGAGAAGCGAGGCCAACGAUUUUGAUUUGUACUCGCAAUGAUGUUAACGCAGAUCCAGAUCGUCAUUGUGGACUUCGAUCAAUUGCGUGACGCGACCCGUGAACGCAAUUACAAUGGUUAUACGAAGCCCGCAACUACUCGUGCCGAUUCGAUCGAACCUUGUGUACAAUGCAAUUUUACCCUUGACUGUAUAAAACUAGCGUAUUGUCUCUAUAGACGUCGCUUAAUGGUUUUCCGUAUCGAAGAACUAUCUCAUACCAAUGUAUAAAUAGUACAGGUAUCAACGCAUGUAUAUAAAACUGUACACAAAUACACCUAUUUACGAAAGCGAUAAGUUGGAAGAUAAUCAGUAUUCAACAGGAUAAAGACCGUGCCCCUUCUCUACAUUAGAGAGAGACUAGGCAAUCAGUGCGGUAAUGGACUUAACAACGACUAACUGUCAUUCCUACAAUGCAUAAUGCUUUGUAAUUUACUAAGCAGAAACCCUCGAACGGUAUGAGCCCGGCAAAAUAUACCGAAAUCGCUUGGCGUUUAUGCCACCAGCAUACGCUUUCUUUAUACGGUGAAUAUUCAAAGAACAUAAGAAAAUGUGAUCAUAGCUAACUACUCGUAACGAUUUCGUCGCAUUUCGUUUUUCAAUCGUAGCCAUAGUACGAACAAGGAUCUAGAUGGAAAGUUAAGUUAAUAACAAUAGCCCUCGCACAAAUAUCAUGGGAAUUUGGGUAGCAGUGAUUUGAUUCUCAAAAAUAAGAAAACUCAUUUAGCUGUGUCCUAGAGAUUCUGUCGACCUUACUUAGUUCAACCAUAUUUGUUGCCCGUUAAUAGAUACACGUAUCACCUGCCUAUGGUUAAAAAAGCUCCCCGGUAGAUCUAUUUCUUAAUAUGCGUACCGUCAAGUUACCUAGUUAACAAUCGCCGGUUAACAACUAGGCCCUUAAAAAGGGGUCCCUUGAUACGCUGUUCCGCAAUGUACUCAAACCCGUGCCGUGAUCGGACUAUAAGAAAGUCAUGCACCGCUGAAACGUCGAUUAAGCCGCUCACGAGCCGGCAGCAAAUAUCAAAGACUUGUUUACAGACGCUAUGCAUUUAGUUCUAAUUGUAACUAAAAUUAUUUAUCGUAGGUUGCUGUAGUAUAAAUGAAAAAACUGUUAAAUCCCGGAAUAUACAUAUACGAAAGCCGGAAAUGACAAAUACAAUGGUAGCAAGUUUCCACGACGCGAUAAAAUGGGCCUAUAUAGGGUGUUUGUUUCCUCUAUAUCACAACGAUAUACAGAUGUCCUGCUAAUCGAGAUACCUAAAUAUGAGGAGAUGCCAAGAAGGUACCCCCCCCCUGAAACCGUGACGAAAGCGUGCACAUUUGAAAACACUCAUGUCUAAUAGGUUUAUAGGUAACUUCGACAAGAGUUCGCUUUGCACAACGUCGCGCGUGUCCUCUUCGUAGUGCAAUUGAAAGCCCUAUAGCUUGUCCACAGUGACUUUAAUAAUAGCUACAAUCUUUAGGUAUGACCGGUGUGUUUAUCCAACCUACAUGAUUUCGCUACUGUCUAUUGUACGCCAUUAUGGCAAUACCGAUGCUUUUAUUAUCAAAACGACUGACAGAACUUACAAUUGCUUAAAUCCAGAACGCCUCACAUGUUCAGCCUACGCUGUCUCUAUUCGUAAAUCGACGAGAUCCGGUAUUUCUAGCGGCAGUUUGAAGACAGUAACAGAUGCGCCAAUCCAGAGUAUCUAUCGAAUAAUAAACGCUUUGAUGAUUUUUGUGGUGACUAUGUCUGAAUCGAUUUUCGAAAUUAAGCUUCGCCCUAUUGCCCCUAUGAUUUGCUUACAUAUUAAUAACAAUAGGACACCGCAAACAUCGUGCGAGUGUUUCGACAAUUGGAACAAAUAAAAGGAUACUGUAGGACAAUCAUUUCGAUGGCGAUACGAAUAAUACCGGAAAUUUGUUCUGUAUAUAAUAGUACGGCGGUCGCAGUUUGAGAUCAGGAGCGUCUGUUAUUGCAAUGAUUGGAUGUACUUAUGGCCGAACAUCUCUAAACGUAUAUGUUUAUGCGCGCAAUACAGGGCGUUUAAAAAGUGACCCAACCCAAAACGAGUUAGCUAGAAUGUCCUUUCACCUUUGUCCUUAUUACGGUUUCUUGCAAAUCGAUCGGCAUCGACCACGUGUCCCAGUAUAAUAUUUUUGAAAAUAUUCAAUUUUAGAUUAACUGCCCAAAAAGAGUCUCAUAGUUCCUAUACAAUAGUAUCAUUAUUGGCUGAUUUUUCAUAAGUCUGCGACAUUUUUCGCUAGUCUGAAUGUUGCACGCCGAGCGGUCCCUGUGUAGAGAAA